rnacentral:rRNA from 1 species
AGGGUUUGAUCAUGGCUCAGAUUGAACGCUGGUGGUAUGCUUAACACAUGCAAGUCGAACGGUAACAUUGGAGCUUGCUCCAGAUGACGAGUGGCGGACGGGUGAGUAACGCGUAGGAAUCUGCCUAGUAGUGGGGGACAACAUGUGGAAACGCAUGCUAAUACCGCAUACGCCCUACGGGGGAAAGCGGGGGAUCUUCGGACCUCGCGCUAUUAGAUGAGCCUGCGUUAGAUUAGCUUGUUGGUGGGGUAAUGGCCUACCAAGGCGACGAUCUAUAGCUGGUCUGAGAGGACGAUCAGCCACACUGGGACUGAGACACGGCCCAGACUCCUACGGGAGGCAGCAGUGGGGAAUAUUGGACAAUGGGCGCAAGCCUGAUCCAGCAAUACCACGUGUGUGAAGAAGGCCUGAGGGUUGUAAAGCACUUUCAAUCGGGAGGAAAACAGCUGGGUUAAUAGCCCUGCUCUUGACAUUACCUUUAGAAGAAGCACCGGCUAACUCCGUGCCAGCAGCCGCGGUAAUACGGAGGGUGCGAGCGUUAAUCGGAAUUACUGGGCGUAAAGCGUACGUAGGCGGUUAUUUAAGUCAGAUGUGAAAGCCCCGGGCUCAACCUGGGAGCUGCAUUUGAAACUGGAUAACUAGAGUUUGAUA